rnacentral:SRP_RNA from 1 species
GCCAGGCGUGGUGGCGUGUGCCUGUAGUCCCAGCUACUUAGGAGGCUGAGGCAGGAGAAUCGCUUGAACCUGGGAGGUGGAGGUUGCAGUAAGCCGAGAUGGUGCCACUGCACUCCAGCCUGGGUGACAGAGCGAGACUCUGCCUCAA